rnacentral:rRNA from 1 species
UACAGUCAUAUCACGUUAAAACAUCGGUUCUCGUACGAUCAUCGAAGUAAAGCAACUUUGAGCUUGGUCCGUACUUAGAUGGGUGACCACCUGGGAAUACUAGAUGUUGUAC